rnacentral:rRNA from 1 species
AACGCGAAGAACCUUACCGGGGCUUGACAUCGGAGGACAACUCUAGAAAUAGAGCUUAGGGGCAACCCUACUUCCAGACAGGUGCUGCAUGGCUGUCGUCAGCUCGUGCCGUGAGGUGUUGGGUUAAGUCCCGCAACGAGCGCAACCCUCGUCGUGUGUUGGUCCACAAGAUCUCUCACACGAGACCGCCGGUGAGAAGCCGGAGGAAGGUGGGGAUGACGUCAAGUCAGCAUGGCCCUUACGUCCCGGGCUACACACGUGCUACAAUGCGCCGAACAACGAGCUGCGAACCCGCGAGGGUAAGCCAAUCUCUUAAAUCGGCGCUCAGUUCGGAUUGAAGGCUGCAACUCGCCUUCAUGAAGUCGGAAUCGCUAGUAAACGCAGAUCAGCUACGCUGCGUUGAAUACGUUCCCGGGCCUUGUACACACCGAGACGAC